rnacentral:sRNA from 1 species
CUCGCUCUGUUGCUCAGAGUUGUUAGUGAACAUCAAGUAAAAGUAAGCCCUCAGAAUUUCUUCGUAAGUGUUGUUAUCCUCAGUGUCUCCCUUAGCUUUAUCGCCACAUUUAAUAAUUCAAGCUCAAGCACAUCGCAUAAUGCGAUUUUUAUGAAUUCUUACUAAGAAGGGACAUAAUAUGUCUAAAACAACUGGUAUCGUUAAAUGGUUUAACGAAGAAAAAGGUUUUGGUUUCAUCACUCAAGAUAACGGCGGCGCUGACGUAUUCGUACAUUUCCGUGCUAUCGCUUCAGAAGGUUUCAAAACUCUUGCUGAAGGCCAAAAAGUUUCUUUUGAAGUUGAGCAAGGCCAAAAAGGCCCUCAAGCUGCUAACGUUGUAGCGCUUUAAUUUCAAAUAAGUUGCGUGAGUGGUGCUUGCAUCAUUUACGCUA